rnacentral:piRNA from 1 species
AAUGGAAAUAUACGACAUUGUUGUGCG